AAAAUGCGAAAAGUAUUGUGACAUGCAAUCUUCGUGAAUCAUCCAAUUUUUGAACGCACCUUGCACCGACAGGCUCUCGCUUGUCGGUAUACUUGUUUGAGCAUCGACCCCCCUCUGCCCUCACUCUCGAGUGGGCGUCUUUCAAGUGUGCUUGCACACUUGCUAGUAAAAGGCAGGACCUGGUCUCCUCGGGCUUUACGGCACGAGUGGGCUGAAAUGCAGCCAGCGCACCGAGCGCGCACAUGGGAUAACAUCCAACAUGGGCGUGUUUGCGUGACACUGGACCCUCUUUUCAUGCGUGAAAGGGGGGGUAUCACGACUACCGAUCUCAAAUCAAGUAGGAAUACCCGCUGAACUUAAGCAUAUCAGUAAGCGGAGGAAAAGAAACUAACAAGGAUUCCCCUAGU
rnacentral:rRNA from 1 species